UAGGGAAUCUUCCGCAAUGGGCGAAAGCCUGACGGAGCAACGCCGCGUGAGUGAUGAAGGGUUUCGGCUCGUAAAACUCUGUUAUUAGGGAAGAACAAAUGUGUAAGUAACUGUGCACAUCUUGACGGUACCUAAUCAGAAAGCCACGGCUAACUACGUGCCAGCAGCCGCGGUAAUACGUAGGUGGCAAGCGUUAUCCGGAAUUAUUGGGCGUAAAGCGCGCGUAGGCGGUUUCUUAAGUCUGAUGUGAAAGCCCACGGCUCAACCGUGGAGGGUCAUUGGAAACUGGGAAACUUGAGUGCAGAAGAGGAAAGUGGAAUUCCAUGUGUAGCGGUGAAAUGCGCAGAGAUAUGGAGGAACACCAGUGGCGAAGGCGACUUUCUGGUCUGUAACUGACGCUGAUGUGCGAAAGCGUGGGGAUCAAACAGG
rnacentral:rRNA from 4 species